rnacentral:rRNA from 1 species
CACGUAGGGCGCAAGCGUUGUCCGGAAUUAUUGGGCGUAAAGAGCUCGUAGGCGGUCUGUUACGUCUGCUGUGAAAACCCUGGGCUUAACCCUGGGCUUGCAGUGGAUACGGGCAGACUAGAGGCAGGUAGGGGAGAAUGGAAUUCCCGGUGUAGCGGUGAAAUGCGCAGAUAUCGGGAGGAACACCGGUGGCGAAGGCGGUUCUCUGGGCCUGACCUGACGCUGAGGAGCCGAAAGCG